AUCAGAGUUUGAAAUUAGAACUCUGAAAAUAUGUACUGCAUAUGUUUCCUUUGUGUCCUCCUGCACAGGUUCGCAAAACACAGUUUUUCCCAGAUGGCAGCUUGCUGCAGGUUUCUUAAUACCUUGAACUGCAAGAUACCCAGUGUAGGACAUCCAGGUUCAGAGAAAAAACAAGGAGGGGAGAAGUCAUCCAAAGGCAUGGGCUCCAAAUUGGUGCAGAUUGGAAAACCACUACUUGUUCACAGGGGCUGAGUCCUGUAUGAAGCCUAGCAGCACACAGUGCAGGUCUCAAAGAUGGUCCAUACAUAACCAAUAGAAUCCAAAUAUUGAAGAUACCACUUGAUCACAAAGCUUUUUCCAGAACUGCACUCCCAGAAGGAGGGGAUGCUAUGUGAAUAAGGUUGCUAUCUGAAAGUUUUACCCCUGUUUUCUUGUCACUUUUUCCCCCCUCAAGGGUUUUUGUAACUCAAAUGAUUUCAGUCCACGCCCCAAAAAGCUGCAUUCCAGAGAGGGGAAUGCAUUCUAGGUGUGAUGUAGAUGUAGAAACAAACUGCAAAGGUGCUAAAACCAAGAAUAUUUUAAGCCAGCUUUGCUGCUAAAGGGUACUUUACACUGGAACCUUUGGUCUUAAUCUCCAGAGCCUUUGUCCAGUCUGUUUUCUCUCAUUUUCCCUCUGCUAUGCUAUAAAGGUCACUCUGGCAAAAAGUUUAUCAGUAUGUGUAACAGCUGCUUUAUUUGGGAACGUUGGCAUGAAUUUCUCCCAUUUUGGUGUAUCAUAAGUUAGCCGUUUGCAUUUUCCAGCACUGAUAAGUACGGAAGUCCACAGCUGAGCUUGUCUGGUCUCUUGGACUAUGCUGUCCAUCACUGGCUCCUUCAGCUCUGCCUAGGCUUUCUAAAUCAUGACACUCAGGGAGAACUGAUGCUGUUCCUGCCAGCUGGUUUUCUUACAAAAACUGCACAACAUAAAUUAAACUAGAAAAAUGCUAUAAGUAGAGAUUCCCAGGGAGAAGACAGGGAGUAGCCCUGAGGAGGAACCCAUGCAGCCAAAUGUUUGAUUCAGUGCUUGAAUAUUUCUGCUAGAAUUGACAGUAUUUUCUCUCUUGCAGAAAAAAAGUUCAGACUUAGGCUGUCUGGCUGCUCAGUAGAAGCUGUAUAAGGUCAAGUGAAUUCUUUGUAGGAGUAGAACGGUGCUAGGGUGCUGAGGUACGGAGGGAAAUUAGGAAUGGCACUGGGAGGCCAGUGAGAGCCUCAGGCAGCUACUUUCAAUACAAGCAAGGCAUGAUUGACUGCAGGCUUAUUUUUUCAGCUUCCCAUCGAACUGUGAAAUACUUCUUUGUGUACACCUCAGCUAUCACCGGUUCUGAAAGACCUGGAGAGAAAGAGGGACUGCAGCACUCUGUGACUGCAGUAGCAUCCUCUGUUGCUUCCCAGCUGCUGCACAGAGGUGAAAAUGCUCUGCAGCACUGUCCUGCCCUGUAGGCAGGCGUCCUGAGGAGGGCUGAGUUCAGCCAGGUGCCACUGCCGGUAAAAUCCUGUGUGCAUCAGCCUCUCUUGCACUGCAAAUGGCUCAGCUUGGGGGAGAGCCUCCCAGACCCAUGGAGAGAACUCAACAGAAAGAUGUCUUCCGCAAAGGUAUGCCAAAAUGUAGGGUGUGGUCAGAUCUGAAAAUAAAAUUUUUAAAAAGUGCA
ensembl:lncRNA